ensembl:lncRNA
UUGAAAUGAUAAACACUGGUUUACAGCUAAAACAGGGCCAGGAAAUAAAAUAUAGGCAGUUGACAAAUAGCUAAGCAGUUAAUCGGGAUCUUAUAACAACAAUUACUCAGAUAUAUAAGCAUUCAGAGCCCCCAGACAUAUCACACAGGUCCACUGGCAUUUAUCCCUCAUUAUAAACUGUCCCAGGGUUAUUACUGAGAUAAAUUGGUCAUGUUUGCAAACAUCGAGGGAUUGCUACACCAAGUGUAUUGACAAAUUGCUUAAUUAAAUGACAACAUUAAAGUGAUAGUACAAUUAAUUGUGCUCUACCAUCUUCUCGCUACAGGGCUUAACCGUAUUUCCAGAUGUUCCUGCAGUAAUUUUGCCAUCAGACUGGAGCAGGAGGACAGGGACAGUGUUUGUUUUCAGUUUCCUGGAGCACUGCUGAGCUCUUUUGCUAAAGGACUUUGUGAAGAUUUAACCUUUCGUUGUGAAAUCUCGAAAUGGAAAGUCACGAAUCUCUUGAGAGCUUUUGAAGCAGAUGCCGUAAGUAUUUUAUAUUAGAAGUUAGCCACUGAUAAACUUUAGAAGUGUGCACCAGAAAGUUUUGUUUAUUAUUUAUUUAUUUAUUUAUUUAUUUAUUUUUUUGUGCUGGAAGCGGCUAGUCUUAGUCUCGUCAGCACUGAUGUUUUUUUUUUAAUAUUUUGCUGGACACACCAUUAGGCAGCCUUCAUUUCAACAGUAAUUAGAUGGUUUGCUGUAGGCUUGUGUGCAAAAUUGAUGAGCAAGUACACCACGUUAAUUGACCACAGACUCAUUAUCGAUGCAGGCUGACUAACUAAUGUUUUGACUUUCAUCCUAAUCCAAGUUUGGUUAGUUCAGAUUAGAAGUCACAAAUAUACAAUAUCAUCUUCCUUCCUUGUUGGAGUGCAACAGUGCCUGCCCACUUUUUUCCCAUUUAUUUUUCCCAUAGUCUUCAUUAAAUAAUUUAAUAAGCCAUAAAUCAAACCAACCAGAUUGGAGAUGAAUUACAACUUUACAAACUUUAAUUUCAAGCAAAAUAUUCAGAUAAAAAGACAGGUUUAUACAGUAAGUUCUUUAAAAUCAA